GUCAAGGAAUUUGGCUUUACUAGAAGUGAAGAUAAAUCUUGUCUGUAUGUGAAGGCCAGUGGGAGUAUAGUUAGCUUUUUGGUAUUGUAUGUGGAUGACAUACUACUCAUAGGAAACGACGUUCCAACCCUGCAGGAAGUAAAGUACUGGCUUGGGAAGUGUUUCGCUAUGAAGGACCUUGGUGACACUACUACAAAAAGGCGCAUAUGAAAGAGCCUAUACAACCCGUUUUUUGGAAAAACCGGCUUCUAAUAUUAAAAAACCGGACUUAAUGAGAAGAAAACUUAUAAGACCCGGUGUACAUUAGAGAACCGGCUCUAAUGUGUAACUAAAAAACCCGGCUUCUGUCACUACAACCGGGGCUUUUAGCAAACAACAAUACAACCCGUUUUUUUAUAACAGAACCGAGUUUUAUAAUGGGAAGACACAAAAUACGGGAAAAACAUAGAAUCCGUUUUUCAGCAACCGGGUUUUUUUUCCUUGCGUUGUGAAUCUAUUCUCUAUCUCCACACCAAAGAAAGUUAUUAGGAGAUUUAAAUUUGAAAAGAAAAAACCAAAUACAAAUAUCGAUCAUAUAUUGUAGUAUGUCACCUUUAUCACUAAAAAGCAGAUCAGAUUAUCAUAUAAAAAAGCUCAUUCUGAAGAAAAAAAAAAACUAAGAUUAUCACGUUUAGCAAGUCAUGAACCAAAAAUGCUCAUCAAAAUAUCAGAUAAUGAUAUAACUAUUUAGAGGAUAAUUUCCAUUACUUCUGGGGAUUAUUUAGUUUGUUUCUAUAUAUUGUAGUAUGUCACCUUUAACCCACACAAAUUAAUCCAGAACAUACAAAGAAGAUCAGAGGAAAAAGGCAACGAUUACUCCACCAACAUACGAGAAGCAAAUUUGGUAUGUAUCUGUAAUAUGUUUAAUUGUUUAUUGUAUCAGGCUGAAACUAGUGAUAUACUUUUCUUCUUUCUUCCUGUUUCUUUCUCUAAACCUUUGAAGAACCUGCAACAGCGAAAAAGGAAUAAAUAAACGAAUAAAACUGAAAUUUGAUAAUUGUGUUCAAAUGCUAAUGUGAUAAAAUAACAAGAGAGUGACAAUUUAGCUAAACCCAUCACCAGAUCCGUCCAUAAAAGUUUGGGGCCUGUAUUGAAAUCGCCCCAAGAUUAGUCACCCCAUCCCCUGGACUAAAGUAUCACUUACAGUAGCAGUGCAGUCAUAGUUUCAUUGCAGACAACGAAAGAUAAUAGAGAUAUUGUUAUGAUUGAACCAUUUUAUAUACGAAUUCAUAUUUGCUGGAAGUCUUAAACCUAAUACUUAGAUGGUCGCAUUUUAAUACCCGUGCGCUUAUCUUUCCCUAUCCAUCUCUCGAAUUCUUCCUCUCUACCCUUCGUCCAUCUCUCAAAUUCCAUUCUCUUUCCCUUUUACCCGAGAUUCGUCCAUGGUAGAGAUUUCAGGAGCCUUUAUAGUCACAAGGCGGAAGAUUGCAAAGCAGGGGAGUCUCACAUUGUGGGAUAUUAAUGGUUGUGAACUCACUGAUAUCUAGUUGGCCUUAUGUGGGAAAAAGAUGCAAAAUAUGCCAGAUUGAAAGAGGGAAUUGGUUAUUUGAUUAAAAAAAGUCCUAGAUGAUAUGAUUGUUGUGGGAGGUUUUGAAGUUGGGGAGGAGUGAUAAGGAUGAAUAUGAGAUAGGUGCGUUAUUUAGUAUGCGAAGAUGAGUAUUAAAGACAUGUGUAGAAGAUGAGAAGACUUUUGGCGGGAAACAAACAAAGUAAUCCCGCUAAAUUUUUUAUUAAUAUGUAAUUCUAUUUUCAGACGGUAUUUUUAAUAGUGUCUAUCAACUUUUAUAAAUGAAAUGAAGAUUAGUUUCUCACAUACCAAAAAUAUGAAUAAAUAAUUUGUUUUAUUAUUAAAACUCAAUCAAAAUUAAAACUUAUUCAAUUACCUUAUUCGUUUUAAUUGAUUUAUCAUGUUUUUUUUAUCAUCAUAUUAAUUGCAAUAACAAUAAUAAUAAUAACUUAUUUCAUUACCUAAUUCGGUAUAUUACUUUAUUUAUUGUUCGUUUGAAUAUUAUAUGAAUAUUUGUUGUAACAUAUUGAAUCAUAAUAAAACAUAUUCUUCGUCGUCUCUAACGAAUGGAAAAAAGGUAUUUUUACUACUUUCAAACAUUUAUUAUAUUUUUGUAAGAUAUUGAGCUUAUUAUGGUCCCUUGAGUCAUCAUUGUGAGUAUGAGCUACUCUAGGAGCUUAGAAUGAUAGAUUUUAACUUUUAUGAUGUUAUAGGUGUAUGAAAAGGUGUAAAGUUGCCAUGAUGAAAGUUAGGUGUUUUCCCCUUUGAGUAUGACAUGAUAUGUGAUUAUUGGGUCUAGAUGAAAAGGUGUAAAGUUGCCAUGAUGAACUUUGAUGGAUAUAAAUGAGUAUAGGGUUUUGGUGCGUUAGAGCCGUUCAUACAGGUGGAAACCCACCUCAAAUGUUGGAUGGAAAGCUGAAUGUCUUUGCUCUGCAACUACGUCUACUCAAUCCCCUAAACAGGAUUACCAUUCCAUACUCAGUUCCUUUUAAAAGUAAACUUAGUCAAAGUCAAGGUAAAGGUCAAGGUAAAGGUCAAAGUCAACGCUAUGAGUCGACUUAACUCAUCGAGUUUACCCUUCAACUCGUCGAGUUCUCAUGAAUCACAACGUUGUGGAAAUCGCGAUCCAACUCGUCGAGUUAUCCCCAAACUUGCUGAGUUCUUCCUAUUCAACAAAAUUAGGACUUUUUAAACCAACUUGUCGGGUUCUUCCUUGUCACAUAACCGGGCCAUUACGCAUCAACUCGUCGAGUUCCUCUAUAAAGUCAUCGAGUUCUUUAGUCUAUUAACACUUCUUGAUGCAUUAAGCCCUAGUUCUUCAAGUCUAAGCCCUAUACUCCAUAUCUGAACUAGAAAUGACCAUAUGAGGGUAAAGUUUCCAAAUUUACCCGUUAAUACUCUUCCUAAGGAGGUUGAGCUCAAACCUAACGCUAAAAAGACCAAAGUCUUGGUCCAAGGACAACCAAAACUGCAAAAUAGGCUAUGAUAUCACAAAUCUGAACCCUAGGGACUACAUGAGCACGUAACGUCCUAACUUGCUCUUCAUGCAUGAUCAUUAGAAUCUCCAAAAGGUUGAAAUAGAGGUCUAAGGGUUGCAUGGGACCUCCAUGGCGAUAAAGUUGGCACAUUUAUGCCAUGAAAACCCUUCUAGACCUCAGAUCUGAAGUAUAAACUCCUUUGGGACAUACAACUCCCAAGGAUCAUGAAACUUGGAUCCAAACUAAACAAAAUAGUCCCAAAAUAAUAUAUCAAUAACUACAAGGAAAGAUUCAAACUUUAUACCAGCAAAAUGUCGAGGAUGAAGCUAGGUUUUGGAUCUACAAACUUCCUCUUGAUCCUCCAAGCUCCCAUUUCUUCCACAAGCUCCAAGCACACAAAAUCUUCUUAAAAAAUGACACACAACUUUCACAAUUGCAUUAGGGUUUAGGACUUUGGGAUUGGAAAUGAGGCCAACAUGAAGGGUUUAAGAUGUUUAAAUAGGGUGCAAAACCCUAAGAUUAGGGUUUCUAAUGUGCCAGUUUACUCGUCGAGUUAAGGCUACCAACUCGUCGAGUAGGUUCCUCAAAACCCGUGACCCAAGCAAUCUAUACUCGACGAGUUUGGGGCUACUAACUCAUCGAGUCUCCCUAUGAAAAGGAAUAAGUUAUGGUUUUAAAUACAUACCAGGAUCCAGGCGUUACAUAUAGGAAUUUAAAUUUGAUACCAUCAUUAUGUCUGUGCUAAAGUGCAAAGGUGUUGACAACCAACGAGGUGUUAAAGUUGACAAUGAUGGGUUUACAAUUCUUGACCUUUCCAUAAAUGACUAUGUAUCGUAACCAUUCAUUCUAACUAAAAAAACUAGCCAUAGAUGACACUACUUAAGGUUGGAUCAUAAUGAAGGAUUAUGGAUGUCAUAAAACCAUGUACUUUGAAAGGUAAUAAACCAAUUAUUUGAUACAAAACACACAAAUAUGAUUAUAAAUUCGUAGUAAUCUAGUACAACCAUUGUAUUAACAUAUUUUGUUUUGUUCGCGGGACAAGACGACAACAAAAUACAUUACAAUAUAAAAUAACGAAGAUGCGUAACACAUUCUUCCGAAUUAGCCAGUCAGUUUGUUUAGAUUUUAUUUAAUGUAUUUCAAUAUUCCAGUUUCAUUUUUGACUUUGAACAUGUCACUUUGCUUUGUCAAUAGUUUUAGUAUAAUAGGAUUUCGAUGCAAUUUUGUUUUUUUGUCAACUCUUAUAUUUAUACGAUUUUUUUUAAUAAAAUAGUUUCAUGUUUAAAUUAAAUAAACAAUUAUUUCUAACAGAAUUAUGUAAGAUGUUAACAUAAAAUUAAAUACUUAAAUAUUAUUUUGGACUACAAAACUUAAAAAAGAUGUAUAUAAUAUUACACACUUCUUAUUUUGAUGAUUUCCAACUUUAUAUACUUUCUUUUGGUAAUUUUCAACUUUAUAUGGCCAUAUGGGUGUUACGGUAUAAAUAAAAGUUAGUGAUCUUAUUAUUUUAAACAAAAUCAAACUUUUAUAUAUAUUUGCCAUUUUACCAUUUAUAGCUACGAUCUGCUCUCUGUUUUCCAAAUAAAACAAUACCGCCAUCAAUUUUCGUUAUCCCGCCAUCAAUUUUCAUUAUCCCGCUCUUUUGACCCUGUACACGAUUUUAAAGCUACUAUCUGCUACAACUUUGGAAAAUAGCAAUCGAACACACCGACUCUCUAAAGCAACUUGAAAUCGAAGAUUCUAUUGCUGCUAUAUUCACUAGAGCCAGGCUACGCUAUUGAGGUAUAAUUUCGACUAAAACUCGUUCUUUAUAUGAAGUUCUGGAAUCCAUUUACGUGACUGGAAUGUCCGAUCCUUUGUUUUGGUUUAAUUUAUGCGUUUUCAGAUUACCGUUGAUUAUUUGUUGGAUGGUUGUUGGUGUUUUUUAUCCAUCUCAUCUAUAAACGAGUUCAAAGUGUACAAUUUAUGGUACAAAACCCUCAAUCAUAAUAGGCGAUGUUGUGGGAAUAUUUUAUGUUACCGAUCUUUGACAAUUCUUUUUUACCUUUGAUGCUUCGUUUCAAUGGAGUAUUUGUUUAAGGUUUUAUUAAGGUCCAGUCAAUUGAAAUUGAAAUCGAAACCUAUUAAUUAUCUUUGUAUGCCUAGGUAUCAAGAGAAUCCUUAUAUGUAUUUUUAAUGAAUCCAUAGUUUGGGUUAAUUGUUUUUUUGAUGCUAAGAAGCAAAAAUCGAAAUCUGGUGAAGAUUUCCCCUAAUUAUAGGUAUGAAUUGAAAGACAAGCAGAAUACAUAUAUCUUGUGAUUAUGAAUUUGUAACAGGUGGUUUUGUAUUUGUUAUUUGAGCUUUUAUAGAUGACCAUCUUUGUUUCUACUCUGAACUACAUAUAAUUUAUUUGUUAACUGAUUCAAAGAUUGCAUUUUGGAGCACCAUGUGGAACUAAGAAAGCCCUACAUGUGCCAACACUUGAAAAUCUGAUAGUUGUCUAAAAAACAGUUUCUUUAACUACAUAUGAAGUGCAACGUUUAUAAUGUCUCAUAUUCUUUAUAAAUUUACUCCAGAAUAAAUAUGAUGAAUGAUCGGCCACAAUAACAAGCACAACCAGAACCACAUCCACAAUCACAACUGAGGAAAAAAAGAACAACCACACAACUAAUCGACCAUAAAAGGCCACAAGAAGUUGAUUUCAACAAUAUUGGUCGGCAUAUUAGGAAGAAACAAAGUAAGUUUGCUAAUGAGUGUAGUUUUAUUACGAGGUCGAUGAUUUCUAUUGAAUAUAUGAGUUGGAAGAAAGUGCCAGAGUCUCAAAAAGAUAUGUUAUGGUCGACAAUUAAGGUUAUUUAUCUACAUAAGACCCAUUACAUGUACUCUCAUCUAAUCAAGAUAUGUAUUAAUAGUUUGUAUCCUUAUUCUAAAACAAAAACAGAAGUGUUCGAAUAUUCUGAAUGACAACCGUAAAAAAGAUGUACUUAGAACAUGCAACAGCCAGUGGAGAGCCUUCAAGAAAAGGCUUAAAAAGAAAUGUGAUAACCAAAGAGAUCAUUUGAGACCUACUCAUACGUGGAGAGAAGUAAAUUGCAAAGCUUUAAAUAGAGGAUGUCAUCAGUGGAGUUCCAGGUGUGUUGGGUUUUAAUUUCACCUAAUAAUAUUUACUUAUUGUGUUGCAUUGUUUUAACUGUGUUAGUUAAUUUUGUUUGUAGGAGAUAAGUGAGAAAGAGAUGGCAUCUGGUCGGUUGACACAACAAUUGUAUGAGAUGAAAAGCAAGUGUUUCAAGAGAUUAUGUUAUGGGUAGAAGAUCUAAAAAUGAGUUGGGGUCGAACAUAAUACCGCCUACCAUACGACCCAUCGUGGACAAGCUUAAAAGAUAUGUCUUCCUUAUAAAUUUUUUUAAUCAUUUCUAAGUAAUUACUCUCACUGUUUUGUUGUUUUUAUGAAGGAUGCGGUCUUCUAAAAAAUAUUUAUGGUUAGUUAUUGAAUUUUAAAACUUAUUAACUUUAGUUCUAAAUUCUUUUGUAGGAGUUCUUCUUACCUUUUUACAUUGUUUUAUUUGUUUUCAGUGAGGAUAGAGGAAAUAGCUACUACAAUUGAUUAUUUGGACAUUCCCUCUACGAUGGCAAGAAAAAUGUUCUUUUUUCUCAGUUUUCAUGAAGGUUGUAUGAUGUAUCAAAUUACCAAAUCCAUGAUUUUUUGUUACUUAGACAAUUGUCUUGUUUGAUUCUACUUUUAUCAAUGGCUAUUAUAGUUGUUUAUUUUACAUGUCCACAUACAAAACAUUGUUAUUUGUACACUCUGUCAUAAAUUGAUUGUCUAAAACUAUUGUGUUGUUCUCAUAAAAGAGUAUUUUUUUUAUCAAAGUGCUAAAAGGAGUUGGUUGCAUAUCUAGAAACCGGCCUCUAAGUCUAAUGUGGAAAGAGGCUAAAAGUGUAUUACGACCUGGUUGUUUAUAUUGAACCGACAUAUAUUUUGUUUUCAUAUGCUUCGGUUAUACAAAACAGAACCGGUUCUAACAUGCAUAUGAAAUUCAUAUUGAAGGUGUCAUAUGCCCCGGUUAUAUGAAUGCAAACCGGGCUCUUUUUGUCAUAAAAAGACCCGGUUUAAAACCGGGUUCUAUUACGAAUUUCCCAUAGGACUCGCUGGCAUCAAACCCGGUUGCAAAACCGGGUUCUUUAAGCUAUUUAACCGGGUUCUUUAACCCUUUUUGUAGUGGUAUGAAGCUGCCUAUAUUUUAGGGAUAAGGAUCUUGAGAGAUCGGUGUAAAAGACUAAUUGGACUUAGUCAGAGUACCUACUUGGAUAAGGUGCUGAAGAGAUUCCGCAUGCAGGAUUCCAAGAAAGGAGAGUUACCCAUCCAGAGUAACACCAGAUUGAGUAAGACACAAAGCCCUAACACUGAGGCUGAGAUAGCAGAAAUGAGUCGAACACCUUAUGCUUCGGCUGUAGGAUCGAUCAUGUAUGCUAUGACGUGUACUCGACCCGAUGUAGCCUUUGCCCUGAGCAUGGUUAGCAGGUAGCAGGCGAACCCUGGCAAGGCACACUGGACUGCGGUAAAGAAUAUCCUCAAGUACCUACGGAGGACUAAGAACUGGAUUCUUACC
rnacentral:lncRNA from 1 species